rnacentral:rRNA from 1 species
UGGGGAAUUUUGGACAAUGGGCGAAAGCCUGAUCCAGCAAUGCCGCGUGUGUGAAGAAGGCCUUCGGGUUGUAAAGCACUUUUGUCCGGAAAGAAAUGGCUCUGGUUAAUACCUGGGGUCGAUGACGGUACCGGAAGAAUAAGGACCGGCUAACUACGUGCCAGCAGCCGCGGUAACACGUGAGGGUCCAAGCGUUAAUCGGAAUUACUGGGCGUAAAGCGUGCGCAGGCGGUUGUGCAAGACCGAUGUGAAAUCCCCGAGCUUAACUUGGGAAUUGCAUUGGUGACUGCACGGCUAGAGUGUGUCAGAGGGGGGUAGAAUUCCACGUGUAGCAGUGAAAUGCGUAGAGAUGUGGAGGAAUACCGAUGGCGAAGGCAGCCCCCUGGGAUAACACUGACGCUCAUGCACGAAAGCGUGGGGAGCAAACAGGAUUAGAUACCCUGGUAGUCCACGCCCUAAACGAUGUCAACUAGUUGUUGGGGAUUCAUUUCCUUAGUAACGUAGCUAACGCGUGAAGUUGACCGCCUGGGGAGUACGGUCGCAAGAUU